GCAGCCAAGGAAGAAGGAUCUCUCGGUCAUGGAAGAGAGGAGAAGCCUAAGGCAGGAGCAACGUCUGACACUGCUGCCGGAUGAAGAACCCCGAAUACACAAGGCAAUCCAAGACCACCACAGCAUAUGCAAGAACUUGAGGAACAUAUUGUGGAGCUUAAGGCUACUUUGAGGGAUGCUGAUAAUGACCACAGCCUUUAUGAGAGUCUCAAGCUCCGGGAAAUGUGCUUGAGAGAACUGGUAGAGGGUUUGAUCCAGGGUGCAAGAACUUGAACCUGCUUCCAAGAACUCACAGACACUGAUGCCAUGACUCGGGUCUUUUUCAACCUAAAGAAAAAGUGCACAGAAAAAGAAAUCAUCGGUCACUGUACAACCCAGUGGGGCCAGGUGCUCACAGAUCCUAUCAAGAUCUGAGAGCGUGCUGUUAGCUUCGACAAGGAGCUGUUUAGAGGUGAGGCUACCUGCCCAGUGGCCAUACAACAAUUGCAUGAGGGCCUCCCCAAACUCUCCAUGUCUGAGGCUGAGCAGCUCAAAGCUGUCCCUGGGCAAAACUGACUGCUGCUAUUUGAAGACCUUGCCAUGGGGAAGGUACCAGGCCUUGACUGAUUACCCAUCAAAUUCUCCAAGAUGUUUUGGCCUCUCCUCAGCCCAGACCCACUGCCCAUCUUCCAGGACAGCUUCAAACAUAGGAUCCUUCUGACCAGUUGCUGCUGAGCAGCCAUCACACUGCUGCCCAACAAAGGGAAUCUGGUAACAUUAAGAACUGGCAACUGCUAUCGCUCCUGUGUACAGGACCAAUGCCCUGGCCAACCACAUCAAAAUGGUCAUGGCCUCUGUCAUAGGCCCCUACUCCAUACCUGCCAGGACAACCUGUUUCUGCUAUGUGACCUGCCGCCAGCUGUGAAGUUCUUUGGCUUGAACAACAACUUUGCCUUCCCAAAUCAAGAACAGUUCUUUGAUAAGCCAGCACUGCAAAUUGUAAAUUAUGUUCAGACUGAAGGAAGUGCACAACUGUUGCAGCAGGUGCACUUUGGCGAGUGCAGCCAGAAUAGCGAGGUCCCCGGGGGCAGUCCUGCCAGCAGUCAGAGGUCAGGCAUAUUUGUGGCAGGGACCUACACACCUGAAUACUUACCUGCAGGAUUGGCGGUGGUGCAGGCAGCAGAACCACAAGCACUGCAGCCACCCUGAUUCAUCACUUUGUGCUGGGUACGGAUUCAAGCACGCCCCAUGCCAACAGAAAUGGUGAGCUGGAGGCUAGGAGGAGUCUGCAGCCGGAGAUGCCCUAACCUCACAGGAAAGCAAGAGUGGCUCAAUGAGGCGAAGCCCCAGAGAGCAUUGCUUCAUUCAGAGGAGCACUGAAGCAGCGACUCGGAUUUUUCCCAGGGUUCCCAGGAGAAGGACUGUAGCCUGGUUACUCUGUAAGAACUGGUUGGCAUGUGGAAGGGGUAUAAAGGGGAGGAGGAGCCCCAAGGACCGGAAACUUGACCUACUUGUAGGGGCAACCACAAAAGACCAAGGACCCUCCUUCUUUCUUAAAAGAUAACAUGUGGAGGGUUUGUUGGAGGGUGUGCCCUGUGAGUGGGAGUUAUUGAGUGCCAAACUGUCUGGCCCUAAGAGUUGGCACCCAAGAGGCUGGAGUGCAUGGUCAAGGCAACAAAAUGGAUUUGGGCACCACCUCUCACAACCACAUUUUGCUGAAACAAAAGAGACUCCUGCUGCUCCAGGCACUGGGACAAGAAAACAGAGAAGGGAGCAUGUAUGCAUUUGUGCCAACACUUCCCAAAGACAUUUCACAACUGAAUGACCUGAUACAAAAUGGGACAAAAGUAUCAACAAUCAACAGUGAUCUGACUGAAGCACGUUCCACCCCUACCCCUCAGCAUUCUGGAAGGGGUGGCACCAAUAGCACAGGAGUUCUAGUCUGGCCUAGAUGGUGAUUAGCAAAUAACCAUCAACUGCAUCUGACUGGAGAAGCUGGUGGAAAUGUGUAGGGGCUACUUGUGUUGAAGUAGUUCGUAUAAAAGACCACUAUAUUGCAACCUCCAAAAGAAGGCGAGUCAGAAAGAGGGAGUAGUUAGUUCAACGGAAGUCGAGCAAAACUCUAUGAUAGUCAUAAAACAGCUGAUGCAGGUGAUCACCACAGAAUAUAUGAAAGCAUCAAAUGAGCAGUUGGUCCAGUCAGGAAGAAAAAAGCUCCACGAAGGAAUUAAGAGGAAAUGUCAUCACCGAUAAAAACAACUCGAGCAUUGGAUUAAACAUUAUGGAAUGUGCACUUUCUCCAGUUCCACUCUGCACUCCUCUACAUAGGUACACCAGGUUCCACGUGCACACUGCUCUCUCUUCCCCUUAUUCCGGCUGCAAACUUCCUCUUCCACCAUGCUCCUUUGCCUCCCUGCCACACUGGGCCCGUGCCCUUGCAGUUCUGGGCCUUCUGUUUAAAUUUUGACCAACCAGCCGGAACUGCCCUACAAAAUACGGGACCAUCCCAGCCAAAGCAGGACAUAUUGCACCCUAUUCAUGCUUAGGCCAUGAGAGGGCCAAAUACCUUUGCACAUUUACCACUUGUUUUUA